rnacentral:rRNA from 1 species
AUUGAACGCUGGCGGCAUGCUUUACACAUGCAAGUCGAACGGUAACAGGUCUUUCGGGAUGCUGACGAGUGGCGAACGGGUGAGUAAUGUAUCGGAACGUGCCCAGUAGUGGGGGAUAACUACUCGAAAGAGUGGCUAAUACCGCAUGAGAUCUCUGGAUGAAAGCGGGGGACCGUAAGGCCUCGCGCUACUGGAGCGGCCGAUAUCAGAUUAGGUAGUUGGUAGGGUAAGAGCCUACCAAGCCAACGAUCUGUAGCUGGUCUGAGAGGACGACCAGCCACACUGGGACUGAGACACGGCCCAGACUCCUACGGGAGGCAGCAGUGGGGAAUUUUGGACAAUGGGCGCAAGCCUGAUCCAGCAAUGCCGCGUGCAGGACGAAGCCUUCGGGUUGUAAACUGCUUUUGUACGGAACGAAAAGCCUCUGGUUAAUACCUAGGGGUCAUGACGGUACCGUAAGAAUAAGCACCGGCUAACUACGUG